rnacentral:rRNA from 1 species
GACGAAGGAUCCAAGCGUUAUCCGGAUUUAUUGGGUUUAAAGGGUGCGUAGGCGGAUUGAUAAGUCAGUGGUGAAAGCCUGCAGCUUAACUGCAGAACUGCCAUUGAUACUGUCAAUCUUGAAUGUGGUUGAUGUGGGCGGAAUAUGACAUGUAGCGGUGAAAUGCUUAGAUAUGUCAUAGAACACCGAUUGCGAAGGCAGCUCACAAAGCCAUUAUUGACGCUGAGGCACGAAAGCGUGGGGAUCAAACAGG